AUGAAACAGCGUGCUCUUUUUAUUUUUGUAGCACUUAUAAAAUUAUGUUUUUGUAUGCUUACUAAUAAAAACAAUAACUUGGCAUACAUAAAUAACGAAUUAUUUAUAAAAGCAAGACCCAAAAGAAAAUGUUUUUCUUUUUUAAAUAGUAGCAUACAUAUUAAUGGUAAUGAAAAAAAACAAAAAAAAAACGUGUAUGGUGAUGUGAGUCGUUUGCGAGAACAAAAUAGUUACGAUGAGAGAGACCGAACUGAUAAUGCUAGUAUUUGUAUCACUACAACCAGUGCCAGUAACAUAAGUAGCGUAAAUAACAGUAGCACAACAAAUGAAGGGAAAAAAUUCCUAAAUGCAACAAAAGAAGAUGAUUAUUAUGAUUUAUAUUUAUAUCAUAUUUAUAAAAAAGUGAACAAUAUAAAAAAAAAAAAAUAUUUAUACACUCCUAGUAAAUACGAGAGUGUUAAGUCGUAUAUAAAAAGAGAAUUAAAUGAAUGUUUAGGUGUAAAUACGGCAGCAUAUAUUUUUAAAAUAACAGAAUAUUAUUCUAAAAAUUUGUUAGAUGUGUCAGUAUAUGUGGAAGAGAUAGUUAGUAUUCUCAGUUUUUUUACGUUUAAUCAUGCACAUAAUUAUACAGAUACAUUGCAAGAAGAGUUUGAACAAAAUGUGAAAGAUAAUACAACUGUUGAUGUAAGUACUACAAAUUCGAUGUUAAUUAAGCGGUGCUCGUCUGAUAAUACACAAAUAGACACAAGCAAUACUUAUAUUAAUCAUGCGAAUAUACAUAAUUACAAAAACGUUGUUAAUAAUGUAGAUUGUAACACAUCAGUUAAUGAUAGUAAUAAUUUAUAUGAUGAAACAAAAAUAAGGAUGGCGCAUAAGAAUAUGUACAAUAAUCAGAUGAAAAAAAGUUAUAACACAUUUAAUGAUAGUGACAAUGGUAGUGACAGUAUUAAAAGAAACGAAGUAGACGAUUACGAAUCUAAACAAACGAACGAAACCGAUUCUAUUUUAAACACUAAAACAUAUAACAAUAACAAAAUAAAUAAAAUAAUAAAAAAAAAUGAGCAUUAUAAAAAAUUUUGUUUUUUUUUCUUUCGACUUGUUGAUUCAAUUAGUGGUUUAUUUUGUUGCAUAGGAAAAAGAAACAAACGAGAAGAAAUAUACAAAUACUUAAUCAAUAUGAAAUUAAUAACAAAAGUGAAAAAUUAUAAUAUAAAUUCCAUACAAAACUUUAAUACUGAUUUUAUGAUUUAUAUUAUUAGAUUAUUAAAAUAUAAAAACGUUAAUAUUUCUUGUUCUUUAAAAAAAUUAAAAAUAUAUGAGAAAGCACAAAUAAAACAAAUAUUUCUUGAUUGUGUGCACGAAAAUAUAUUAGAUCUUUUUUAUUUAAAAAAAAUAGAACCUGAGUACAUUGCUAAACAAGAGAAAAAAAAAGAACAACAAAAAAAAAGAACAAGAGUUCAUGAGUAA
rnacentral:lncRNA from 1 species